rnacentral:rRNA from 1 species
CCUACGGGUGGCAGCAGUGAGGAAUAUUGGUCAAUGGACGCAAGUCUGAACCAGCCAUGCCGCGUGCAGGCAGACGGUUCUAUGAAUUGUACACUGCUUUUGUACGAGGGUAAACGCAGAUACGCGUAUCUGUCUGAAAGUAUCGUACGAAUAAGGAUCGGCUAACUCCGUGCCAGCAGCCGCGGUAAUACGGAGGGUUCAAGCGUUAUCCGGAUUUAUUGGGUUUAAAGGGUGCGUAGGCGGUCGGAACAGUUAGUGGUGAAAUGCCGAGGCUUAACUUAGUUAUUGCCUCAGAUACUGGACGGCUAGAGAGUAGAUGCGGUAGGCGGAAUGUAUGGUGUAGCGGUGAAAUGCUUAGAGAUCAUACAGAACACCGAUGGCGAAGGCAGCUUACCAAGCUACAUCUGACGCUGAGGCACGAAAGCGUGGGGAGCAAACAGGAUUAGAUACCCGAGUAGUC